GCGGAGGGAUCAUUACACAACAAAAUAUGAAGGCCUGGCUUCGCGGCCGGCUGAAAUAUUUUUUUCACCCAUGUCUUUUGCGCACUUGUUGUUUCCUGGGCGGGUUCGCCCGCCACCAGGACCAAACCAUAAACCUUUUUUUUAUGCAGUUGCAAUCAGCGUCAGUAAAAACAAUGUAAUUAUUACAACUUUCAACAACGGAUCUCUUGGUUCUGGCAUCGAUGAAGAACGCAGCGAAAUGCGAUACGUAGUGUGAAUUGCAGAAUUCAGUGAAUCAUCGAAUCUUUGAACGCACAUUGCGCCCUUUGGUAUUCCAAAGGGCAUGCCUGUUCGAGCGUCAUUUGUACCUUCAAGCUUUGCUUGGUGUUGGGCGUUUUUUGUCUCCCUCUUUCUGGGAGACUCGCCUUAAAACGAUUGGCAGCCGGCCUACUGGUUUCGGAGCGCAGCACAUAUUUUGCGCUUUGUAUCAGGAGAAAAGGACGGUAAUCCAUCAAGACUCUACAUUUUUAACUUUUGACCUCGGAUCAGGUAGGGAUACCCGCUGAACUUAAGCAUAUCAAAAGCCGGG
rnacentral:rRNA from 1 species